CUCUACUGCUGUAAAUCACCAUACAGUCUACUCAGCUGUCGCAGCGUACAGGGAGCAGGUACAAGUCGUGGCGACUUGCUGUCGCUGUAAGUCCACAAAUAAAUAUCCUGUAAUGGCAUGAAUGCAGGCUUUCAGAAAGGUCAUGCUUUGCUCCGGGGGAAGAGCAGCGGCUGUUCCGGAGAAUAAAAGCCACCUCGAAGCCUGGUGCUUCUCUACCACAGAAGCUGGGAUAAUGUAUUAAGGACGUUUCUAAGAAUGUGACGAAGAGAUGAUGUUAGAAAUUUCUGUGGCAGAAGGCCCAGCCAUCCCUGCUCUCUCUGUUUAGAACAGAGUGCAUGAGUGGUUACAGGAAUAAAUGGAAUGAGUUUUACAUCUGGAGCUAAAGGCUGGGGUCCAUGCUGGUUAAGCCUUCCCUACCUUCAACACAGAUGCUAUCACAAAGAUGGAUUCACAGUCAAGGUGGACUUCCAUUCCAGAAUUCAGUUUCUCCUUUAGCUCUCUGCAAGAUUUCAUGUUGGCCGACUGCCUGAAGAUGCCUUUUGUGAGGGGGCCUUUUUGGUUAAGGAAGGAAAGCAUAUCCUGCAAGGAAGCAGAGGAAAUA
rnacentral:lncRNA from 1 species